rnacentral:rRNA from 1 species
AUUGAACGCUAGCGGCAUGCCUUACACAUGCAAGUCGAACGGUAACAGGUCUUCGGAUGCAGACGAGUGGCGAACGGGUGAGUAAUGUAUCGGAACGUGCCCAGUCGUGGGGGAUAACUACUCGAAAGAGUGGCUAAUACCGCAUACGACCUGAGGGUGAAAGCGGGGGACCGUAAGGCCUCGCGCGAUUGGAGCGGCCGGUAUCAGAUUAGGUAGUUGGUGGGGUAAAGGGCCAUCAAGCCGACGAUCUGUAGCUGGUCUGAGGGGACGACCAGCCACAGUGGGACUGAGACACGGCCCAGACUCCUACGGGAGGCAGCAGUGGGGAAUUUUGGACAAUGGGCGCAAGCCUGAUCCAGCCAUGCCGCGUGCGGGAAGAAGGCCUUCGGGUUGUAAACCGCUUUUGUCAGGGAAGAAACGGAUUUCUCUAAUACAGAGAUCUAAUGACGGUACCUGAAGAAUAAGCACCGGCUAACUACGUGCCAGCCGCCGCCGUAAAAC